AGAGUCUGCCAGGAGGAAAGGACAGCAUCAGAGUCUGAGGUGAGGCAGAGGGCAGAGGCAGCUAGAACAGUGUGGGUCUAGGAGACAAGGUCAUUGCUUGUCUGUGACCGGUCUCUAGUGUUCUUUCUAUAUCAGCUUCUAAUUUCACUUCACCUAAUUCAUAACGGGGGGAGAGUGUGGGAACAGAGUAGGAGCUUUAACAUAGUUCAAACAGAAAAUGGGACUCGAUCAGUUUGGAGCAUAGUAAGGCCACCCAAGACUACUUCGGGAUGUAUUAAAAUGGAAGCAAAAGUCUUGGAUGGCACAGAAAUUCCAGCAAGGCACAAAUUUCAUUCAGCAAGGCCUUGCCUUUUGAGAUCCUGGGGACCUCUCUCUUGCCCCAUCCUUUCCCUCUAGUCUGACUCCCCCACACCCAGUUCCAUGGUGUGUGAAUGUGUACUAGGGAAUGUCAAUGACCCAAAUGUAAGGAGUUAGGGAAGAAAUAUCCUUCCUGUAGAUGCGUCUUUUCCUUGGACACUUGAUAGCAAGACAAUCAUCAUUCUUAAUGGGGAUACAAGCCAAAGCUCCGGAACUGCUGAACUGAAAGUCGUCUCUCAAAAUACAGGGCAAAGAGAGUCCUAGACUCACCCAGGAUCCUUUGUACCAAAGCCUGCAGCCAUCUCUAGUCUUUGAUACUGCCAUUAGUUUAUUGAGUCUCCAGACUCACAAGAAAUGAAUGAGCACACAAUCCCUAGGCAAUGGUUAGUAGAGAAUUUGCAAGGGUUCCCUCCUUGACAUUCUAAGCAAAAGGGGAGCCAGCCCUCCAAGGGUCUAGGUAUGUGCUCCUGGGCCAGAGUGCCCUGCAAACUGAUAAACUGAAGAAGAACCCUAUUUUGUGCAAGCUGGGACACCCCAUUAAAUCUAGCACAAGAUUCUCAGUAGAGAUGGAUGAGAGGCGAGUACUACAUCUGCCAAGGUAUCAGGUUUGCUCUUCAGAGAAUUAAAUGACAUAUAACUUGAGUUUCUGCCAACAUGCUGGAUCAGAAGCCUGGGAGGCAGAAUUGCAAUGUCUUCUGUCAGUUAGUCCAGGAAGUAGAAAAGAAAGAUCUCACUGGCCUUGUACAACAGUCAUAGCAGAUGUAUGGUACAAAGUCCCUUUACUACCAAUGAUCAGCACCAUUGGGAUCAGGUCCACUUCAGUUACCAGUUCAGUUCUGAGUUGUAUCUGGGAGCUAAAGCAUGCUUCCAGCAAGGGAGAGAAGGGCCAAGGAAAACCAUCUGUGCCUACAGCUCUGUGCAUCUCUUUCUCUCAGGAAUGGAUACCCUGGUGUUCCCAUUUGACCUGAAAAUAGGGGAGGCUUGUUGGUCAAGAAGCUGCAUCCUAGGACAUGGUACACAUUAGUGAGAGGUGACAGGAGACGGUCCCAGAGAGCCUAGAGACAUUCAGUUUAUUGGAGAUGCGAGAUGCUAGGACUCUGUUUCUUGUAGGCUGACAGUGGACCAUCUUAGUCACUAUUGUUAUAUGUCAAACAAAAUCUUCACCCAUCAGUGUGUAUUAGAGACACUGAAAGCAUGAUGUCAUUCUUGCAGGUAGCUCUAAAAAGCUGGCUUGGUUUGCUUGUCACUCCUCUCUGCCUAAAGUACGGCAUAAUUGAAGGAAAAGGGACUGAAGGUCCACACGUGGUCUUGUCAACUGUGGGAUGAACUGUGAGGAUUUGUGACCCAGAUCAGGCUUGUCCAGGGACGACCAUGUAUAUAAUCCUCAGGGAUCUAAGAGAACACGACUCCGUGAAAAGGAGCGGCUCACUGCAAGUUUGAUGAUGGGAUUCUCCACCAGGUGUCCAGUUAUCCCUUGGAGGAUACGCCAACGGACUCCAGUGUGAUUGAGCGAUCUCAUCCUGAAAUAAUUUCCUCUGGCACAGGGAUACACUCGUAAGACAUGCCAACCAAAAGUCCUGCUGACCACUCGGGUUUCCCCAGAGGGAGCAGUGCGCUCAGAUGAAAGAGUUAAGCCUUUCAGAGAAUGCAGAAAGAACACGGCCACAACGUAAGACAGUCUUUGCACUCAUCUGGACGAUGGUCUCCAUCUCUGAAUGACUCAAACAGGAGAAAAUGGAACUUCUGAGCCCCAUGGGUAGCAUUCACUCGAAAGUCAAUUAAUGUCCAAAGCGAAACAUUCAGGAUAAAAGAUUUACUUCUGGUAAAUGGGUUUGGGGGUGUACGCUUUCCUGGGAGUACACCCACUAUUUCCACAUAUAAUGAUAAUCCAUUUAAAACCUCCUUAACAUUCCCUGAUAACCUGCAGUGACUCCUCAAGCCAGGUCUAGCUCAGAAUGACAGAAGAAGGCGCACAAGGCAAAGCAGAAUGAGCCCUGUAGCUGUGGAAGCCAGCCCAUCAUUAACCCCUCCUCUCUCUCUUCCCAGUGCCAAUGGGGCCAUAGUUUUGGGGCAAUAACACACUCAAUACCUAGCCUAUGACAACACAAAGUGAUUUCAAGGUCACAGGAGGGAAGCCUUUCAGUGGGGACAUGUGCUUUAACAACAGUCCCCAUGCCAUGUCACGAGGAAGGCACAUUACAGAGAUGAACUAGAUUUGAUGAUGGCGGACCGCUCAGGUGCAGAAAUGGAUGCCCCUGCCAGGAGUCAGGCGAACAACUUUUAAAUACUAAGUGGCAUUCAAUAUUUAAGGUUAUGACCUGAACAUGGGUCAUAUGAUAUGUGUUCUGAAUGGUUAUCACCCAGAAAGACUAAGAGGGUGCGCUCACUGAAUUAAAAUAUAGAGCCUAUUGCACUGCUGGAUUGUCUUCUGUGACUGUAAAUUGGGGCAUUAAAGCUGCAUUUGGAGAAGGACACAAAAGGGAAUUUAACAGAAAGCAUUCACAAAUUAAAUGUUUUAAUCUCAUACAGUUGUUGUG